CAAGUACUCCCUCCGUCCGAAAAUACUUGUCAAAAAGAUGUAUCUAGAACUAAUAUACAGUUAGAUACAUCCCCUUUUAUUCAUUUUGAUGACAAGUAUUUCCGGACGGAGGGAGUACUAC
rfam:Triticum urartu cultivar G1812 contig1241871, whole genome shotgun sequence.